GGCUGUCGUCAGCUCGUGUCGUGAGAUGUUGGGUUAAGUCCCGCAACGAGCGCAACCCACGUCUUUAGUUGCCAGCAUUCAGUUGGGCACUCUAGAGAGACCGCCGGUGAUAAACCGGAGGAAGGUGUGGAUGACGUCAAGUCAUCAUGCCCCUUACAUCCUGGGCUACACACGUACUACAAUGCUACGGACAAAGGGUUGCAAGCUCGCGAGAGUUAGCUAAUCCCAUAAACCGUGGCUCAGUUCAGAUCGUAGGCUGCAACUCGCCUACGUGAAGGAGGAAUCGCUAGUAAUCGCAGGUCAGCAUACUGCGGUGAAUACGUUCCCGGGCCUUGCACACACCGCCCGUCACACCAUGGAAGUUGGCCAUGCCCGAAGUCGUUACUCCAACCCUUGUGGAGGAGGACGCCGAAGGUGGGGCUGAUGACUGGGGUGAAGUCGUAACAAGGUAGCCGUACCGGAAGGUGCGGCUGGAUCACCUCCUAA
rnacentral:rRNA from 1 species